rnacentral:rRNA from 1 species
AACGAACGCUGGCGGCAUGCCUAACACAUGCAAGUCGAACGAGACCUUCGGGUCUAGUGGCGCACGGGUGCGUAACGCGUGGGAACCUGCCCUUAGGUUCGGAAUAACUCCCCGAAAGGGGUGCUAAUACCGGAUAAUGUCUUCGGACCAAAGAUUUAUCGCCUUUGGAUGGGCCCGCGUUGGAUUAGCUAGUUGGUAGGGUAAAAGCCUACCAAGGCGACGAUCCAUAGCUGGUCUGAGAGGAUGAUCAGCCACACUGGGACUGAGACACGGCCCAGACUCCUACGGGAGGCAGCAGUGGGGAAUAUUGGACUAUGGGCGAGAGCCUGAUCCAGCAAUGCCGCGUGAGUGAUGAAGGCCUUAGGGUUGUAAAGCUCUUUUACCCGGGAUGAUAAUGACAGUACCGGGAGAAUAAGCUCCGGCUAACUCCGUG